ACCUGCAGUCGAGCGGUAAGGCCCUUCGGGGUACACGAGCGGCGAACGGGUGAGUAACACGUGGGUGAUCUGCCUCGCACUUCGGGAUAAGCCUGGGAAACUGGGUCUAAUACCGGAUAUGACCUUUCAGUGCAUGCUGUUGGGUGGAAAGAUUUAUCGGUGCGAGAUGGGCCCGCGGCCUAUCAGCUUGUUGGCGGGGUAACGGCCCACCAAGGCGACGACGGGUAGCCGACCUGAGAGGGUGACCGGCCACACUGGGACUGAGACACGGCCCAGACUCCUACGGGAGGCAGCAGUGGGGAAUAUUGCACAAUGGGCGAAAGCCUGAUGCAGCGACGCCGCGUGAGGGAUGACGGCCUUCGGGUUGUAAACCUCUUUCGACAGGGACGAAGCGCAAGUGACGGUACCUGUAGAAGAAGCACCGGCCAACUACGUGCCAGCAGCCGCGGUAAUACGUAGGGUGCGAGCGUUGUCCGGAAUUACUGGGCGUAAAGAGCUUGUAGGCGGUUUGUCGCGUCGUCCGUGAAAACUUGGGGCUCAACCCCAAGCUUGCGGGCGAUACGGGCAGACUUGAGUACUUCAGGGGAGACUGGAAUUCCUGGUGUAGCGGUGAAAUGCGCAGAUAUCAGGAGGAACACCGGUGGCGAAGGCGGGUCUCUGGGAAGUAACUGACGCUGAGAAGCGAAAGCGUGGGUAGCGAACAGGAUUAGAUACCCUGGUAGUCCACGCCGUAAACGGUGGGUACUAGGUGUGGGUUUCCUUCCACGGGAUCCGUGCCGUAGCUAACGCAUUAAGUACCCCGCCUGGGGAGUACGGCCGCAAGGCUAAAACUCAAAGGAAUUGACGGGGGCCCGCACAAGCGGCGGAGCAUGUGGAUUAAUUCGAUGCAACGCGAAGAACCUUACCUGGGUUUGACAUACACCGGAAACCUGCAGAGAUGUAGGCCCCCUUGUGGUCGGUGUACAGGUGGUGCAUGGCUGUCGUCAGCUCGUGUCGUGAGAUGUUGGGUUAAGUCCCGCAACGAGCGCAACCCUUGUCCUGUGUUGCCAGCGGAUUAUGCCGGGGACUCGCAGGAGACUGCCGGGGUCAACUCGGAGGAAGGUGGGGACGACGUCAAGUCAUCAUGCCCCUUAUGUCCAGGGCUUCACACAUGCUACAAUGGCCGGUACAGAGGGCUGCGAUACCGUGAGGUGGAGCGAAUCCCUUAAAGCCGGUCUCAGUUCGGAUCGGGGUCUGCAACUCGACCCCGUGAAGUUGGAGUCGCUAGUAAUCGACGUUCCCGGGCCUUGUACACACCGCCCGUCACGUCAUGAAAGUCGGUAACACCCGAAGCCGGUGGCCCAACCCCUUGUGGGAGGGAGCCGUCGAAGGUGGGAUUGGCGAUUGGGACGAAGUCGUAACA
rnacentral:rRNA from 1 species